UUCCGGUUGAUCCUGCCGGAGGCGACCGCUUUUGGAGUUCGAUUAAGCCAUGCGAGUAGAAUGAAUUAGAUCAUUGCAAACUGCUCAGUAACACGUGGAUAACCUGCCCUAUGCUCUGGGAUAACCUCGGGAAACUGAGAAGAAUACCGGAUAGACCACAACGCCUGGAACGGUGUGUGGUUGAAAGGUCACGGCAUAGGAUGGGUCUGCGGCGUAUCAGGUCGUAGGGGGUGUAACGGACCUCCUAGCCAUCGACGCGUACGGGUUGUGGGAGCAAUAGCCCGGAGAUGGAUUCUGAGACACGAAUCCAGACCCUACGGGGUGCAGCAGGCGCGAAAACUUCACACUGCAGGAAACUGUGAUGAGGGAACUCCAAGUGACUGCACAUUGUGUAGCCUUUUCUUUACUAUUAAUCGGUAUUGGAAUAAGGGCUGGGAAAGACCGGUGCCAGCCGCCGCGGUAAUACCGGCAGCUCAAGUGGUCGUCGCUUUUAUUGGGCCUAAAACGUCCGUAGCCUGUUUGGUAAAUCUGUGGGUAAAUCAACCAGCUUAACUGGUUGAAUUCUGCAGAGACUGCCAGACUAGGGACCGGGAGAGGUGUGGGGUACGCUCAGGGUAGGGGUAAAAUCCUGUCAUCCUGAGCGGACCACCUGUUGCGAAGGCGCCACACUAGAACGGAUCCGACGGUCAGGGACGAAGCCUAGGGGCACGAACCGGAUUAGAUACCCGGGUAGUCCUAGGUGUAAACGCUGUGGACUUGAUGUUGGAGGAGCUCCGAGCUCUUUCAGUGUCGAAGCGAAGGUGAUAAGUCCACUGCCUGGGAAGUACGGUCGCAAGGCUGAAACUUAAAGGAAUUGGCGGGGGAGCACCGCAACCUGAGGAUUGUGCGGUUUAAUUGGAGUCAACGCCGG
rnacentral:rRNA from 1 species